rnacentral:rRNA from 1 species
GACGAACGCUGGCGGCGUGCUUAACACAUGCAAGUCGAACGGAAAGGCCCUGCUUUUGUGGGGUGCUCGAGUGGCGAACGGGUGAGUAACCCGUGGGUAACCUGCCCUUGACUUUGGGUUAACUUCAGGAAACUGGGGCUAAUACCGGAUAGGGGCUCCUGCUGCAUGGUGGGGGUUGGAAAGUUUCGGCGGUUGGGGAUGGACUCGCGGCUUAUCAGCUUGUUGGUGGGGUAGUGGCUUACCAAGGCUUUGACGGGUAGCCGGCCUGAGAGGGUGACCGGCCACAUUGGGACUGAGAUACGGCCCAGACUCCUACGGGAGGCAGCAGUGGGGAAUAUUGCACAAUGGGCGGAAGCCUGAUGCAGCAACGCCGCGUGCGGGAUGACGGCCUUCGGGUUGUAAACCGCUUUCGCCUGUGACGAAGCGUGAGUGACGGUAAUGGGUAAAGAAGCACCGGCUAACUACGUG